CUGCCCUGGAGCGGAGCGUGCGUAUCUCUCCAGCCGGGCAGCGGUGACUGAGCGGGGAGUGACAGCGCGGCCAUGCACAGCUAGCCCCCGCCCGCUCGCCCAGCUGCCUCCGUUACCCCCGGGGCAGCGUUCCUGGGCACCCCCGGCCAGCUGCUCGGAGUGGCUCAGACACACGCAGGGGCUCAGCGGCGUGCCACGGGGCGCCCCAAGGAUGGAAGGGGGCGCGUAUGGAGCGGGCAAAGCCGGGGGCGCCUUCGACCCCCAGACCUUCUUCCGGCAGCCUCACACCGUCCUGCGGGUGCUCUCCUGGGUGUUCUCCAUUGUUGUCUUCGGCUCCAUUGUGAAUGAAGGUUACCUGAACAGCCCCAGUGAGGUGGAGGAGCAUUGUAUCUUCAACCGCAACCAUAACGCCUGCAACUAUGGCAUCACCGUGGGCGUCCUCGCCUUCCUCAGCUGCCUUCUCUACCUGGCUCUGGAUGUCUAUUUCCCACAGAUCAGCAGUGUCAAGGACCGCAAGAAGGCAGUGCUCUCGGACAUCGGCGUCUCUGCCUUUUGGGCAUUCCUCUGGUUUGUUGGCUUCUGCUUCCUGGCCAACCAGUGGCAAGUUUCAAAGCAUGAGAACAACCCGCUGAAUGAGGGGGCAGAUGCAGCCCGAGCAGCCAUCACCUUCUCUUUCUUCUCCAUUUUCACCUGGGAGCAGCAGCCAAGCUGGACAGAUGACUUGCCCCUCUGCCAGCUGUCUGGGGUGGGCUCAGCUCCAAACCGUUCCUACAGUGCAGAUGGUAAGGGGACAGAAAGCCACCCAUGGGAGGAUAAUUGGCUGAAAUUCAGGAGUGAGAACAACUACUACCUCUAUGGGGUCUUCAAUGGCUACGAUGGCAACCGGGUCACCAACUUCGUGGGCCAGAGGCUCUCCGCGGAGCUGUUGCUGGGCCAGCUAAGUGCAGAUCACAGUGAUGCUGAUGUGCGCCGGGUCCUGCUGCAGGCUUUUGACGUGGCAGAAAGAAGUUUUCUGGAGUCCAUUGAUGAUGCUUUGGCAGAGAAGGCCAGCCUUCAGUCCCAGCUGCCAGAGGGAGUACCCCCCCACCAGCUGCCUGCUCAGUUCCAGAAGAUUGUGGAGAGACUGAAGGCCUUAGAGCGGGAGAUCUCUGGAGGAGCUAUGGCUGUUGUGGCUGUCAUACUCAACAACAAGCUCUACAUCGCCAAUGUAGUAACCAGGUCCUCACAUGCUGCUCCCACCACAGGUACAAACCGUGCACUGCUGUGCAAGUCUACGGUGGACGGGUUGCAGGUGACACAGCUGAACGUGGACCACACCACGGAGAAUGAGGAUGAGCUCUUCCGCUUCUCCCAGUUGGGUUUGGAUGCAGGGAAAAUAAAGCAAGUUGGAACUAUCUGUGGGCAAGAGAGCACCCGGCGCAUUGGGGAUUACAAGGUCAAAUAUGGCUACACUGAUAUUGAACUGCUUAGUGCUGCGAAAUCUAAGCCCAUCAUAUCAGAGCCUGAAAUCCAUGGAGGGCAGCCAUUGGAUGGGGUGACUGGCUUCCUGGUACUCAUGUCAGAAGGGCUGUACAAAGCUCUGGAGGCGGCUCAUGGGCCCGGGCAGGCCAAUCAGGAGAUCGCAGCCAUGAUUGCCACAGAGUUUGCUAAGCAAACAUCGCUGGAUGCAGUGGCGCAGGCUGUGGUGGACCGGGUUAAGCGGAUCCACUGUGACACUUUUGCCAGUGGUGGGGAACGAUCCAAGUUCUGCCCCUGGCAUGAAGACAUGACACUGCUGGUGAGGAACUUUGGGUACCCGCUGGGCGAGAUGAGCCAGCCCAUGCUGACCCCGACACAAGGAGGCCGUAUCUAUCCUGUCUCUGUGCCAUACUCCAGUGCCCAGAGCACAAGCAAGACCAGCGUAACGCUGUCCCUUGUCAUGCCUUCCCAAGGCCAGAUGGUCAACGGUGCCCACAGCAGCUCCACCCUGGAUGAAGCCACACCCACGCUCACUAAUCAGAGCCCAACAGUGACUCUCCAGUCCACAAACACCCAUACCCAGAGCAGCAGCUCGAGCUCAGAUGGAGGCCUUUUCCGCUCCCGCCCCUCCCACUCACUCCAGCCAGAUGAGGAUGGACGUGUUGAGCCUUACGUGGACUUUGCAGAGUUCUACCGGCUUUGGAACAUGGACCAUGGUGAACAGGGAAUAUUGACAGUGUCCUGAUGUAGGGAGAAGAGGGGUGCCUUGCAACCACCAGAAGCUCGCCCAGAGGAGCAAAUGAAGACUGAGGCUAUGGAACAGCUAUCCAGUGAGAAUGACCUGCCUCUACUGACAUGGACUGAAUUGGAGUCAGUGAAAGGUUCCCAUCCCAUCCUCAAUUCCCUGCCCUGUAUAUUGAUAUCUGUAUAAACAGGCCUUCCUAACCUACUUCGCACCCCCAUCUAUGCUUUUGGCUAAUUUAGUCUGAGAUCAGUUCCAAUGGCAAUAUUCCAGCAUCUGGCUAUUUCAGAGAAAAGUUCAAGAAUUACCAACACACUUAACAGAACAUGCUAAACAAACAUAUCCUGCGGCCUAAUUACUGAUUUAGUGAAUACAAGGAAUGAAGUGGCCGUAGUGCAGUAUGUGGAUUCGCUAAGGUGUUCAUAGAGAAUCCCCACCCCAAAAUAAAAACAUGGAGAAAAGCUUACCCUCCUGAAAAUUACUACAGUCUGGGUUAGAAGUUAAGUAAUGAAAAGACUCCAAAGGAAGGGGAAGAUGUGUGAAUAGUACCACAUUGACUACAAUAGAAAUCAGAAGUUAAUAUCUUCAUUAGUGAGAUGCAAGAAGAUACGGAGUAAGCAGUGACCAAAUUCCAAGUGAUAUCUUCUUUCCUGCCUGCACCCCCCUCCGGCCCCCCCAAAGAACAAAACAAAACAGCUAAGUAGCAGACAUAGGAGGACAGAAUCAAACGCUACAGCAUGAUCUGGAGAAACCCACAGAGACCUGCAUGCAAUGUGAUGAAAUUCAAUGUCACUGAAAGCGUAAAGUCCCACGCAGGUGGAGAGCAAAGAAACAGUGCAGCUACCCAGCAGGGGACUGCUAGCUUCUCUCAAGCAAAUUAAAUGUUGAAUAUGCUGUGCAAUUCUGGUGUGAAGAAAGCUGAUACCCUUCUCCCGUGAGCAAUCUCAUGUAUAUGGGGUCUGUAAUGUUGAAUAGCCCUGUAACUGGACUUUAAAUAAGAGUUGUAGACCUCGUCUCCAAUAUACAGUCACAAGGGCAGGAAAAGGGGUUACAAGGAUCCGAGAAAGAGAGAGCCCUAAACAUGCAAUCUAAGGCAAAUACUGCUGCAGGGAAGAGGUAAGAUAACUGCAGUCUCUGAACCCCGUUAGGAUGACAAUAUAAAUCAAGAAAGGGGAUUAUUCCCACUCCCUUGUACAGAUAGUAAGACAAGAAAUGAUCCAAGCUAAAGCAGCGUAGAGAGUAUUCGGCAGUGUUGGAUGCACUUCUUGCUCUUAGCUUCAAUCUGUUCAUAGCAGCAUGCCUCUGCCAAACAUACGUACAGUGAGAUCACUUCUAUAUUGCACCCAGCUGCAGGCCAGGCUGGGUCCAAAUAUCAAGCAGAGACAUGAAAGCGCUUUUUAACCCCUCAGCCAUCUACUGAAUAUCCAUCACCUCUAUUCGUGUAAACUGAAGACUCUUCAAGCUUGCCUGAACUUGCAUAGCAAGAGGGAAAAGAUUUUUCAUGUUUGUCUGCAGCUACCCGCCGUGGCCACGUGAUCUCCUGAACCGAGUUGGGUCAGGUUUGGCCUGUAUUCUAGUAGACUUCCAAUGACGUGCCUGAGUCGAGUACAAAGUAGUGUUGGUGGCAGGUUUACUCAUGUCAGUUCUCAACUAACGCUCCAAACGUAACAUGAGAGGUGUCUGUUCUGUUGUCUUCUAGCCUGUCACACCCCUUGUGAAAGGGCACCAGCAUGAGUCAGAGGCUCAUGUAGCAGCCACUGACUUGUUUGAGCAAGCCUGGAAUCCCAAACAAAUAUACAGAGAAGAGACGAGGUGUUCUUUUUGAGUACUCACGCCCAGCCAUCUAAGGCCAAAAUCAAUAUAUAAGCAAACAUGGAAACAAUGCCUUUGCUUUGCGAAAUGUAACUUUCUCAUACUUCCCCAGAGUCUUAUCUUCAGCUGAUUUACUACUCUGGAAACCCAGGGUUUUCAUUUGCUCCCAGACAGGGUGUCUAAACACAUGGGGGAGGUAUUUCCUGACCCCUCUAGCUAAUAGGGCUGAAGAAAAUACUUCCUGCUCAGACCACUCAAAGCCUCCAUUGGUUUGCAUGGUUAUUCCUCCUUAGGCUAGGUCUACACUGCGGGGGAUCGAUUUAAUAUACGCAAAUUCGCAUAGCUGAAUUUGAUGUAUCCGAUCCGACUUACCCCGCUGUGAGGA